rnacentral:rRNA from 1 species
UACGUAGGGUGCGAGCGUUGUCCGGAAUUACUGGGCGUAAAGAGCUCGUAGGCGGUUUGUCGCGUCGGCCGUGAAAUCUCCACGCUUAACGUGGAGCGUGCGGUCGAUACGGGCAGACUUGAGUUCGGUAGGGGAGACUGGAAUUCCCGGUGUAGCGGUGAAAUGCGCAGAUAUCGGGAGGAACACCGGUGGCGAAGGCGGUUCUCUGGGCCUGUGCUGACGCUGAGGAGCGAAAGCGUGGGGAGCGAACAGG